GACGAACGCUGGCGGCGUGCUUAACACAUGCAAGUCGAACGGAAAGGCCCUGCUCUUGUGGGGUGCUCGAGUGGCGAACGGGUGAGUAACACGUGAGUAACCUGCCCUUGACUUUGGGAUAACUUCAGGAAACUGGGGCUAAUACCGGAUAGGAGCUCCUGCUGCAUGGUGGGGGUUGGAAAGUUUCGGCGGUUGGGGAUGGACUCGCGGCUUAUCAGCUUGCUGGUGGGGUAGUGGCUUACCAAGGCUUGGACGGGUAGCCGGCCUGGGAGGGUGACCGGCCACAUUGGGACUGAGAUACGGCCCAGACUCGUACGGGAGGCAGCAGUGGGGAAUAUUGCACAAUGGGCGGAAGCCUGAUGCAGCAACGCCGCGUGCGGGAUGACGGCCUUCGGGUUGUAAACCGCUUUCGCCUGUGACGAAGCGUGAGUGACGGUAAUGGGUAAAGAAGCACCGGCUAACUACGUG
rnacentral:rRNA from 1 species